GAUGAACGCUGGCGGCGUGCUUAACACAUGCAAGUCGAACGAAGAUGCCGGAGUGCUUGCACUUUGGCAGACUGAGUGGCGGACGGGUGAGUAACGCGUGGGUAACCUGCCUUAUACAGGGGGAUAACAGUUGGAAACGACUGCUAAUACCGCAUAAGCGCACGGUAUCGCAUGAUACAGUGUGAAAAACUCCGGUGGUAUAAGAUGGACCCGCGUCUGAUUAGCUUGUUGGUGAGGUAACGGCCCACCAAGGCGACGAUCAGUAGCCGGCCUGAGAGGGUGAACGGCCACAUUGGGACUGAGACACGGCCCAGACUCCUACGGGAGCAGCAGUGGGGAAUAUUGCACAAUGGGCGAAAGCCUGAUGCAGCAACGCCGCGUGAGGGAAGACGGUUUUUCGGAUUGUAAAACCUCUGUUUUCGGUGACGAACAAAUGACGGUAACCGAGUAGGAAGUCCACGGCUAACUACGUG
rnacentral:rRNA from 1 species